GACGAACGCUGGCGGCGUGCCUAAUACAUGCAAGUUGAGCGAUGAAGAUUGGUGCUUGCCCCAAUUUGAAGAGCAGCGAACGGGUGAGUAACGCGUGGGGAAUCUGCCUCUGAGCGGGGGACAACAUUUGGAAACGAAUGCUAAUACCGCAUAACAACUUUAAACAUAAGUUUUAAGUUUGAAAGAUGCAAUUGCAUCACUCAAAGAUGAUCCCGCGUUGUAUUAGCUAGUUGGUGAGGUAAAGGCUCACCAAGGCGAUGAUACAUAGCCGACCUGAGAGGGUGAUCGGCCACAUUGGGACUGAGACACGGCCCAAACUCCUACGGGAGGCAGCAGGAGGGAAUCUUAGGCAAUGGACGAAAGUCUGACCGAGCAACGCCGCGGGAGUGAAGAAGGUUGUCGGAUCGCAAAAAUCGGUUGGUAGAGAAGAACGUUGGUGAGAGUGGAAAGCUCAUCAAGUGACGGUAACUACACAGAAAGGGACGGCUAACUACGUG
rnacentral:rRNA from 1 species